rnacentral:rRNA from 1 species
CAGAAGGGAGCUUGCUCCCGGAUGUUAGCGGCGGACGGGUGAGUAACACGUGGGUAACCUGCCUGUAAGACUGGGAUAACUCCGGGAAACCGGAGCUAAUACCGGAUAGUUCCUUGAACCGCAUGGUUCAAGGAUGAAAGACGGUUUCGGCUGUCACUUACAGAUGGACCCGCGGCGCAUUAGCUAGUUGGUGGGGUAAUGGCUCACCAAGGCGACGAUGCGUAGCCGACCUGAGAGGGUGAUCGGCCACACUGGGACUGAGACACGGCCCAGACUCCUACGGGAGGCAGCAGUAGGAAUCUUCCGCAAUGGACGAAAGUCUGACGGAGCAACGCCGCGUGAGUGAUGAAGGUUUUCGGAUCGUAAAGCUCUGUUGUUAGGGAAGAACAAGUGCGAGAGUAACUGCUCGCACCUUGACGGUACCUAACCAGAAAGCCACGGCUAGGAAAGUGCCAGCAGCCGCGGUAAUACGUAGGUGGCAAGCGUUGUCCGGAAUUAUUGGGCGUAAAGGGCUCGCAGGCGGUUUCUUAAGUCUGAUGUGAAAGCCCCCGGCUCAACCGGGGAGGGUCAUUGGAAACUGGGAAACUUGAGUGCAGAAGAGGAGAGUGGAAUUCCACGUGUAGCGGUGAAAUGCGUAGAGAUGUGGAGGAACACCAGUGGCGAAGGCGACUCUCUGGUCUGUAACUGACGCUGAGGAGCGAAAGCGUGGGGAGCGAACAGGAUUAGAUACCCUGGUAGUCCACGCCGUAAACGAUGAGUGCUAAGUGUUAGGGGGUUUCCGCCCCUUAGUGCUGCAGCUAACGCAUUAAGCACUCCGCCUGGGGAGUACGGUCGCAAGACUGAAACUCAAAGGAAUUGACGGGGGCCCGCACAAGCGGUGGAGCAUGUGGUUAAUUCGAAGCAACGCGAAGAACCUUACCAGGUCUUGACAUCCUCUGACAACCCUAGAGAUAGGGCUUUCCCUUCGGGGACAGAGUGACAGGUGGUGCAUGGUUGUCGUCAGCUCGUGUCGUGAGAUGUUGGGUUAAGUCCCGCAACCCGCCAACCCUUGAUCUUAGUUGCCAGCAUUCAGUUGGGCACUCUAAGGUGACUGCCGGUGACAAACCGGAGGAAGGUGGGGAUGACGUCAAAUCAUCAUGCCCCUUAUGACCUGGGCUACACACGUGCUACAAUGUUCGGGACAGAACAAAGGGCUGCAAGACCGCAAGGUUUAGCCAAUCCCAUAAAUCUGUUCUCAGAUCGCAGUCUGCAACUCGA